rnacentral:rRNA from 1 species
GAUGAACGCUGGCGGCGUGCCUAAUACAUGCAAGUCGAGCGAAUGGAUUAAGAGCUUGUUCUUAUGAAGUUAGCGGCGGACGGGUGAGUAACACGUGGGUAACCUGCCCAUAAGACUGGGAUAACUCCGGGAAACCGGGGCUAAUACCGGAUAACAUUUUGAACCGCAUGGUUCGAAAUUGAACGGCGGCUUCGGCUGUCACUUAUGGAUGGACCCGCGUCGCAUUAGCUAGUUGGUGAGGUAACGGCUCACCAAGGCAACGAUGCGUAGCCGACCUGAGAGGGUGAUCGGCCACACUGGGACUGAGACACGGCCCAGACUCCUACGGGAGGCAGCAGUAGGGAAUCUUCCGCAAUGGACGAAAGUCUGACGGAGCAACGCCGCGUGAGUGAUGAAGGCUUUCGGGUCGUAAAACUCUGUUGUUAGGGAAGAACAAGUGCUAGUUGAAUAAGCUGGCACCUUGACGGUACCUAACCAGAAAGCCACGGCUAACUACGUGCCAGCAGCCGCGGUAA